rnacentral:lncRNA from 1 species
AAAGACGAUGAUGAGUGAUCUGGGCUACUAACAUUUUAUUGUGUUUCAUGAAGUAUUAUCUGUUAAGAAGACUGUUUUAUUUCAUUAUUUGCUAUUUGGAACUUUGUUAUGAUGAAUUAGUAGUGUUUUACUUAUAUUCUUGGUGAAUUAUGAAUUUAUAAUAUAUAUAAAAUAUAUUUUAAAUAAAAAAACUAAAACGUAUUUUUGACGUAUCGUAUCUUGAUUUUUGGAAAAAUGACGUAUUUACGUCCCCGUACCGUAUCGUAUCCGUAUUACGUAUCCGUCCCCAUGCUUCUUAGCGUACGCGCUUCUCUUGCUAAUAUUAAAAACCGCCAACUUUUAAUAUUUAACAAAUCCAAUUUGCUUAUUAAUUUAAAAAAAAAAUACCAAAUUUGCUACCAUAAAAAGCCACGUAGCAUUGACUUUUGAAAUCAAUGAACCGAUUAUAAAAUUAAAUAAGGUUAUAUUAAAAAGAGAAAGAGAAAAGACAGCCUAAAAGGAACCCUUGAAAGCACAAAAGAGAGCAGACUAAGGGCCGAGCCUCGUUAAAACCUCCAUAGAGAAAACCCGCAAGGGAAAACCUCUAAGGAGGAAAAAGAGUACUCGUCUAAAAAACAGAAACAAACGACCCAGAGGAGUUGAAGAGCGGGAAGGACUGCCUCAGAAACUCCGGCCGAACCAUUGUCCCUAGGCAAUCCGGCUCAGCAACCCCAAAACAAGCACAAACACCGACAAGCCACAAAAUAAAAAACGAGCUGAAAGAAACACCGCAACUAGCCAGAAAGAACGAGCAGAAAAAGGCCAAAGAUAACAAAAAACUAUAAUUAAUAUUGACUGAACCGAUUAUAAUGUCUAAGAAAUUAUAAAUAAAUAAAUAAGUCUCAAGAAAAAUUAUAAAUAUUGAAACAAAAAACUAAGUUAAAAUAGUUUCAUUAGGAAAGAAAUAAAAUUUUAUUUUUGGCUAAUUCCAUGUGCAUGGGAAUAAGCAACACUAAGAGGAAUGUGAGGAAUGACUAAUCCCAUGUUCGUGAGAAUGGGCAUUCCAUCAAGACUAAUAAAUGGAUGUAUAGUAGGAAUCAUCAGUUCAUUCUCGUGCCUUUCCAGCAAUGAGACUAGGCAAAUUAAUUAAUUUGUAUUAACAAAUCCAUUAGAUUACACGUUUCCGAUCAAUCUAACGUUGAUUAAACCAUGAUCCAACAACAAAUUCAUUUCUCGAUCUCAUUCAUUGUUUACACAGAUAAAUCAAUGGCCAAUUGAUAAUCAUAACAAGAACAAUUCAAUCAACUAGCACAAAUCAAUCACAAAUCAAUCAACGUGCUCUUCUUUCAUUUCUUCUAUGUUGUAAGACAUCUCUUCCAAUAUCAGUAGAUUUUCUGAAUUAGAUAUGACAUUUUCGUUUGGUAACGACAUGCCAGGAAAAUUGACUAAACUGGUGGAAUUAGCUAUAGGCAACCAAUGCUAGAUUUUUUAAUUGGUCAUCUGUAACUGCAAAUAGAACAAUAUAAUAUAUAAAUCAAAACUAUAAACCAUAGAUCAUAGAUACAUUCGCGCCACUUUCAUGUCAAGUAAAUAUAUGGGUCCAAUAGUUAGUAUUUAAUGAUAUACAACCAAAUAUUAAUAAGAUCAUAUAUGUUUACUGUGAAAUAUUAAUAUUUUUCUCUAUUAAAAAAUAAUUUUUUGUGAUUAAUAUUCAAUUUAUUUUUUAUUUCAUAAAUUUCUUUUCACUAAAGAGAGCAUCUAAUAAAAUUGUGUAAAAGUAAAAGGAUGUAAUAUUUAUUUGAAAUAGGCCUAAAAUAAAUAUUUUAUGAAAUAUAUAUAUAUAUAUAUAUAUACAUGUAAAUAACCAUUUCGUUUAACAAAAGAUUGAUGUUAGCUGCAAAAAUAAUAAAAAAUUAUUAUAAUUAUUUUUUGUUUGAAUAUAAUAUUUUACCUUUAAUGAAAUUAUAAUAAUAAAUAAAAUUUAAAAAUAUAUAACUAUAAGGAACUGGAAGAAAAAAAUAUAUAACAAUAAAUAAAUUAAAAAUUAAAAGAUUCUAAACGUAUGUUUAAUUGGUAUUACUAACUGAAUUAAUAGAUUCAGUAUUUAUAAUGUGUAUAAUUUGACUUUAUGGUUGGGAUAUAAUUAAUGCAUAAGAAAUUAUAGGUUCGAAAUUAGAUAUAUAGAAAUUUGUUGAUUAAAAAUUUAGAAAAAAUAAGAAUGAAUGAGAAUUGAGGAAAAUUAGAAUAGAGUGAUUCUAUUACGCCACGUAGGAUAGAGCUUAUUUUACUUUUAUAUAUACUAGCAGUAAGAACGUGCGAUGCACGUUAAACACGUGUGUUUUUGUAUUAUGUAAAUAUAAUUGAUAAAUAUUAUUAUAUAAUUUUGAAUAUUUGUAUUUUUUUAUUAAUUUGAUUUUACUAUGUAAAUAAAAUUCAUAGAUAUUUUUAUAUAGUUUUGAAUAUUUGUAUGAAUUCAUUUUACUAUAAUUGUAAUUUAAAAAAGGAAUCAAUGCAACUAUUAAUGAAUAAAUUUAAAUGCAAUAAAGUAGUAUUCAUAAGAUACCUCUAAAUAAAAAUGGAAAAAAUUCUACGAUAAACAUCCUAGCUUAUCUAAAUACGGAGCAAGACGAAUUUUAGAUCUUCUCUUGUUUGAUUUUGAUGAUUGGGGAUGUCUUCUUCUUAUUUUCUGGGACGAAAAGAAUGUGGCCAUGUUUAUUGGGACGGAGGGAGUAAUUAUUUUUUAUAUUUAUUUGAACUAAUAAUAGAUUAUUUGGGUUAAUAAAUUCAAAGUUAGGAUAUAUAAUUUUUUAAAAUUUUAAUUUUUAGUUAUAAAUAUUAAUUAGAGUUCAUAAUAUAAUAAUAAUUUUUAUUUUUAUAAAAAUAAUUGUAAAUAAAAAAUUACGAGUGGUACACACUAAAUUGUGGGACAGAGGAUCCCAUCCGGGCUUAGGGGGGAUGAGAUCUAGUGUCCCAUAAUUUCAUGUGUGGCAUUAUGUCCCACUCAUAUAUCUAUUAUUUUAAAAAUAUUUUUUAUAAAAAUAAAAUUUAUUAUAAUACUAGGAAUUAUACUUAAUUUUUAUUUGAAAAAAUUAAAUUUUUUAAAAAGUAUAUACCAUUACUUUUAAUUUACAACCUAUUAUUAGCUAAUUAAAGUGAAAUUAAAUAAUAAAAAAUAGAGUCAAUAUAUAAAAGUAGCCACUUUUUUUAGUAAACUUAAAAUUUACCCACUCAAAUAAAAACUUAAAAAAAUACUCAUUUUUUGUGUUAAAUGACUAAACUGCCCCUAAGAUUAAAAUUAAAAAAUUACCCACAUCACAUCUCACUUUCUCAUCUCGGUCUCUCUCUCGAUCUGUACUCUCUCUCUUUCUCUUUCCCUAAAUUUUUGCUGCAAUCCUAAAUGAAGCAACUCUAAAUGGGUUGGUUAAUUUCUCCGGAUGAGUCCAAAGAUGGUGAGGUCAUCGACAUCAUCACCUUAGAAAAUGUUUUCAAAGAACUUCUACAUGUGCAGAUUCUUCUUGGAUCUCCAUCGCAUCUGCUCUCUCUCUCUCUCUCUCUCUCAAUUUUUGUUUCAAUCGCACAUCUAAUGCGAAGCAAUUAAAUUUGAUGUGUUGAUAAAAUUCGUUGUUUCUAAAUUGGAGUUUUUAGAAAUUGAGAGUUCGGCACUUACAUGAAGAAAUCUUAUAAGAAUUGUGUUUUUAAGAAAAAUUUGAGGAAAAGUUAGAUUCACUUUGAUUUAAUAAAAAAAAAAUACAAGUAAUGAAGAAAUUGAUGAAAAUCAUGCAAUUUUGUACAAAUGUUCUUGAAUUCACAACUAGAUUUAUGAAUUCACAAUUUUGUACAAAUGUCCAAACAGGGCACGUGGCGACGGUUCAAGACCGAAGAGAAACGCCAGUUCGGACAUCCUGUUUGGCCAAACAGUCACGUCAGUUCAAGGAAACCCCUGGACUACUAUAAAUAGUCAUGUAAUAAUAAUAUAUAUUCAUUUUCAAACCUAAAUAUAGUCAUGUAAAAUAUAUAAAUCUACGUCUACAAAAAUUAUAGUGCACAUAAUUUUGGGGCACAAGUUUUAAUAAAUUUUUGUAAAAUGUGUAUAAAGGGGGAAAAUGACCCAUUAAAGUUAAGUAAAGAAAGGUUCUCGUCGAAGCUGAUAUGUUAAAUGGUUGAGUUUUAAGAAUAUUGAGUGUUUGAAAUAUAAGGGGUAGUUUCCAAAAAAAAUGAAUUACUACAAUUUUUAUAGAUGGACGAAAGUAACAAUAUGACUACAAUUUUUAUGAACGAAGAAAUAAUAUAUGAUUUAUUAAUUAUAAUUUUAAAAAAAGACCCCAUCCGGGUACCGCCACCGCUACUACGGGCCGACGACCGCUCUCCCAACAUCCCACCAUCACAACCCUACUACAAAUCCACCAUCACUUAAUUCGAAUUGAAUGCUCGACGCUCGAACCAUAGGGUGACGCCCACAUGCCGACGAACAGCCGCAGCCUCCGCCUCACAAAAGACGACUCCUCCGGCAACCCGGUGCAGAACAGCUACGGCCGAGUCAUCUACAGCAAACCGGUGCAACUCUGGAAAAUGUCGGACAAAGCCCACUUCGAAACCACCGUGAAAUUCACCCUGAAUCCUAAGUCCGCCAACAAUUACCCGGGCGACGGCCUAGUCUUCUUCAUGGUCCCCGUCGACCACCGCUUCCCGAGCAACACCCAAGACGGCAACCUCGGAAUCUACGGGGGUCUCAAGAGCAACAAAGUGUUUACCGUGGAGUUCGACAUCUUCGUCAACGACGAGUGGGACCCGACUUUCCCACACAUCGGGAUCAACAUUGAAACUAGGGCUUCCCAAACAGUCGCUCAGAUUCCGGACUCGUUCAUCGGGAAGGAGGUGGCCAUGACGAUCACCUACGUCCCCGCCACUCAAGUCAUCUCCGCCGUCGUAACCGCCGGCCCGGAGAAAUUUGAGAUCUGCCAUGUGCGCGACUUGAGCGGUGUUCUUCCUCCGGAGGUUCGUGUCGGCCUCGCCGGCUCCACCGGCGAGUCCGUCGCCAAUCACGACGUCUCUUACUGGAAGUUCUUCUCAGAUUUCUGAUAAGAAUGGGGCAUAGAUUCCAUUCGUCUGAAUUUGUUCAGGGGGGAUCCAGGAUUUGAGGUUAGGGGGGGCUGAAUUUAUUGAUCUACGACGUAUGUAGACAUUUACACGGGGGUUCGGGGGCGGGAGCCCCCGAAGCAAAUUUUUUUGAACAUUCCGUACACUUUAUUUUCAUGCAUUUUUUUAACAAUCACUUAAUAUAAUAGAUAUAUGUUUGCAAUUCAAUUAAUUCAACAUCAAGUAGAUUGAAAGUAUACAAAACAAUACUUUUAUGCAUUCUUUUAAAAAAAUAUAUUUCAUUUUCUAAACAAAUAAACUAACUUUCAUUGUUAAUAAUUAGUAAUUUUACUUUUAACUUUAGAAUGGACUCAAAUUCAACAUUAAAAAUUAAUUAAGAAAAAAAAAAAAGGAUAAAAAUAACAUAAAUGUAACAAAUCAAUGUACAAUUUCAAAGAAUUAGUAAUAUGGAUAGUUGGAUAUACUAGAAAUAAUGUAUUAUAUUUUUUCUUCUAUUUCUUAUUUAUAUACACAUAUACAUAUAUAUUGAUAUAUUAAGUGAAAUAAAUUUACUAUAAUUAAAAAAAAAAAAAAAAAAAAAAAAAAAACUCAAAAAUUGGGAGGGGGCUUCAGCCCCCCCUAGCCCCCCCCUGAAUCCGCCACUGUUUGUGAUCGUAUCGUCUUCUUCAAUUAAGUCCAUUUCCAUUGGGUUUGUGUGUGAUUUUGUUUAUGUGUGUGUGCUUGAUAUAUAAUAAGGACUAGCGAUCGAUCGACUACUCUACUCUUGUGUGUGUAUGGAUUGAAAUAUGAAUGAAAUGGUUUUUUGCUUUUUACUUUAUUAUUUCUCUUCGCUUUCUUAAAUUUUUCUGGAUUGCUUAAUAAUUUCAAAUAAAAUUUAUUAUUGCGAGAACCGUUAGAACUCAGCACUGAACAUAUAAAGUAGUUACACUGAGUCUAUCAGUAGGUGCACUCUCAACAAAAAAAUUGUGAAUUGUUUAUAGGCCCACUGUAAAAAACUUAAUUUGUAGGUUCAGUGCAGAGUUCUCACAAUAAAAAAGUAAUUGUCAUUGAAGCAUUUCAUCAAGCAGGAGCGAACAUCAAUCUAAAUAAAACUGGAAGUGGUAUUGCUGAAUAUGUAAAAUAGCUUAAUAAGUGGCAACAUGAUAUUCGUGCAAGUGGGAAGAAAUCCAUUGAAAGUAGUUGUUCUUCUAUUUCUUAAUGGCAGAAACUAUUCUCAUCAGGCUGUGAAAUUUAAACCCUGAUGAAGAAAAUUACACAAACUCAAAAUCGAAGAAUACAUGCACCAAGAAAGUCUAAUGGUGUCCAUAAUAAUAUGUUGGGGGCCAAAAUUUAUCAUAAAUAUGUGGACUCAUGACUUUCAGUGGCCUGAUAAUUUGUUCAAAAAUUGAAAUGUGGAGAUAUUAUUAAAAUGUUUCGAAGGUCAGGUUAAAAUUAGAAAUUAUAAAUUAAAUCAAAGUUCGUGUAUAUAUUAUUUAAAAAUUAAUCCUUUUAAUAUAUAGUUGAUUUUUUAUCACAAUUGUUUUGGCUUGUUUAUAUAUAUGUAUACAUAUUAUAAAUAUUUAUUAAUUUUAGUAGUUAAAAUAUAUACAUAUAUAAGACUAAUUAUUAGACAAUAACAUAAUACUCCCCCAUCCACCAAUUCUUGUUCUAAUUUGUCAUUUUGGUUCGUCCACCAAUUCAUGUCCUAUCUAGUUUUAGUAACUACUCCCUCCGUCCCAAUAAUGAAGACACACUUUCCUUAUUGGGACGUCCCAAUAAUAAAGACACACUUCUAAAUAAGGAAAUAAUUAGGGCUUAAGAAUAUCUAAUUAAUUGCACCUUAAUUAAGGUAUAAAUAUGUUACAAAAAAACCCUAAUUUCUAAACACAUCUCUCACUCUCUUCAUCUCCCUCCUUCUCUCCUCCCCUUCUCGGCCAAGUCGCCGCCGGCGAGACAUGGCCACCGCCGAGCACCCCACGUCCACCGUCGAGCCACCUCCAAGUCUCCUGACUCUUCCUCUGCCACCAGACCCGCCUCCUUCAGAAAUCCCGGCGAGCGCAGCGGUCAUCGACCGCCACCGUCUGUACCGCCGCGUCUCCACCUCCGGCGAAGUUAAGCCACACCUUUGGGUCGAGCCCUAGACAUCAAUUGGCUGAUUUUCCACCUAAUCUGCCGCCUCAUCCUCUGCCGUUUCCAGAUCUCCACCACCAUCACUAUCACCGGUAUCCACUGGUUCACAGCGAGUCGCCGUCGAAUUCUUCCGCAAUAUCGGCGGCAAUUCUUGCAGAAUUUGGUGUUUGUGGAAUCACAGCGCGGGCAUUUCACUAUCAAAAUUUGAUUUUUGAGCGAAUUCUGCAGAUAGGUUGAUGGUUUAAGCUCGUGGUGAGAAAAUCAGAGAAGAUCGGAGGUUUUGGGUUCCAGAAUUCUUGCUUUAGACUGAUUUUUGAUUUUUGGGUUCCAGAUGGAUUUGAUUUUUGAGCGAAUUUGGUGUUUGUGGAAUUCUUGCUUUAGACUGAUUUUUAGAUAUGUGGUUUUGGGUUCCAGAACCAGAAUUGAGGGUUCUGAUUUGGGCGUAUGAUUUUGGGGAUCUCAGAUCGGAGGCGUGGGGCUGGGCGCCGGUGGCCGGCAUUGGCAGCAGACGAUGGGGGCGCAGUUGGGUCGUUCGUCGCUCAGCAGACGAUGGCAGCACAGUUAAUUUUGAAGAAAAAAANUGUAAUUAAAUUAAUUAAAAUAUUUGUAAAUAAUGAAUUUAUAAAAUAAAAUUUUCAGUUGCCAUUUAAAAUAAUUUAAAAAGAAAUCAUUAAACAUUAACUAAUCAAAUACACUAAUAAAGUGGGACACACUACUUUAUUCCCUAAUCUAACUAACCUUAAUCUCCGUGCCCAAAUGAAGUGUGUCUUCAUUAUUGGGACGGAGGGAGUAUUUACUUACCAAAUAAAUCACUUUUUCUUAAAAUCCGUGCCUUAUUCUCCACUCAACAAAUAAACAAUACAUUUUUUCUUAAAACAUGUGCCCCCUUUUCCUAGGACACGAAUUGGUGGACGGAGGGAGUAUUUACUCCCUCACUCCCUCCGUCCGCCAAAAGUGGUCCACUUUGGCUGGGCACCGGAUUUAAUAAAAAUGGUGAUGAUGUUGGUAUAGUGGAGAAAGGGUUCCACCACUUUAUGAGAUGUGUGGUUGAGAUUGAAUUUGAAGUGAAUUUUUUAAUGUAUUGGAGAAAGUGGGUGGUGGGACUAUUUCCAUAAAAGAAAAGUGGACUACUUUUUGCGGACGCCCGAUUUAGUAAUUGUGGAGCACUUUUGGCGGACGGAGGGAGUAAUUUCUAAGUUCAUUAUUAAAGUUCAGUCUCAAAUUGUUAAAAUCCAAUUUAGAUAAAUUGGGGUUUACUUAAGUAAAUAACACACUAUAUCUUUGGAUAUAUAAAAUCAAUAAUAAAAUUUAAUUUGGAGGAGAAGUGAUUUUGUUUGGAACUUUGUGUGAUUAAAUACGGUGAAUGUCAGCGAUAGUGCUUAAUUGAUUAAGUGAGAUAUGCAUGUUAGUUACUAAAAUUACUCUGUCAAAUUUGAAUUUAGUUGUUAUUAGUAAUUAUUCCCAUAUAAUUUAUCUUUAUAUAUUUUUUCUAAAAUGUUCAUGUAUAAAAUCUAUAUAAAUUGUGCGAAAAAUAUUAUUAUUAUUAUUAUUAUUAUUAUUAUUAUUAUUAUUAUGGACAUACACAUAUAUAAAAUUUUGUUUCAUUUUUUAUCCACUUUCUUAAUUGAAGUUAAUUAUUAACAAUUAAUAGUAUUAUUCAUCAUCAUUGUUUAUGCGGUUCGUACUUUUUUCAGGAAAUCCUAUUUACCGGCAGGAUGCAAUGCAAGUACUCUGAUCCUUAUCCCUAAAAAAGAAGAGGUGAUCACUGUGGCGGACCUUCGACCCAUUAUUUUGUCCAACUUUUUUUUCAAGGUUAUCUCGAAAAUUCUGGCUACUCGGCUUAGUCCUAUUGCUGCAUGUUGUGUUUCGGAUAAUCAAUUUGGUUUUAUCGUUGGGCGUUCUAUUCACGAAUGCAUUAUGAUGGGGUCCGAGGGAUUUAAUUGCAUGAAUCGUGUUAAUCGGGCUUCCAAUAUGGCUUGCAAAAUUGAUAUCCGGAAAGCGUUUGAUACUAUGAGUUGGAACUUUCUUAAGGUCCUCCGUGCGUUUCGCUUUCAUGAGAAAUUCAUUUAUUGGAUUUCUAUUAUUCUCCAUUCGGCUAGGAUUUCUAUCGUAUACAAUGGUCAGCUUAGCGGGUAUUUUGGUUGUUCGCGAGGUGUCAGACAUGGGGAUCCGUUGUCGCCUAUCUUGUUUGGUAUUGCAGAAGACAUUUUGAGCCAUCUCAUUACCAACUGUGUUGCUUCGGGACACCUUACUCCCAUGAGUUUUAGUCAUGCUACUGACUUUCCUACUCAUCUCUUGUAUGUGGACGACAUUAUCAUUUUUUGUAAGGCAUCGGUUCGGAACGCAAGGAAAAUUCGGGAGAUUUUAAAUUACUAUGGUUCGCUCUCAAGCCAAAUCUGCAACCAAGAGAAAUCUAGUUUAUUUUUGGACAUGUAGCUGCACAUGUUGAUGUAGUUGAAUUUCAAAAAAGAGGAUUACCACAUGUCCACAUGCUGAUAACUAUGUGUAGUAUGUUGGGAACAAGCUUAGAAAUUGAUUAAGUUCGAUAGAGCAUAAGCAUUAUUAGAAUACAGUGAAGUCUCUUCCUUGAAUCUAUUAUGUAAAUCCUUUUGGAUGUUGAUAAUUAUUUAUGGUAAAUGAAUUGGAUGUGUUUAUAUUUAUUUUGUUAGAGUUAUUAACAUUCCUUUUUGUUAUACAAGGCGACUGCAAUGCACGUGUUACAAAGUUCGAUCAAGCGGCAGAGGUAUAUGUUGGAUGCUCGGUGGAUGAAUAUAUUUAAUUUCUUCAAUUAAGAUUUCUUACUUAAACACUUACUAUAAUUUAAAUAAUGCAUAUUACAAAAUUUGAUAUUACGUAAUUAUAAUACUCAUCCACAAAUAAUGGCCCUUUUUUUUAGCAUUACAUUAAGAAAGUACUGCUGUUUAAAGCUCUAAAUUAAGGAACCCUACUUAUUGCAUAAAACGAAUUUUCGGUAUUUAUAAAUAAAAUACCUUAAAACUGGAUUAAUUUUGGCUAUUAUCAGUGGGACGAAGGGAGUAUAUAUAUUGAAAAUUAAUCCCUUCCUUUUAAAGGAUAUGGCAGAUGGAUUUAUGAAUUCAAAAAUCCAUUUAUAUAAUGUAUUGAAAAGAAUGCAUAAUUAUAUAUACAUAUAAAUAUAUAUAUAUAUAUAUAGAUUAAAUGUAUGUAUAAUCUUAUUUUCGAAAGGAUUUAAAAAGAUAAUAAUGUGAUGUAACUAUAUGACGAGGCUUGGUGACGUCCAAACUAUCUAGAUAAAAUGACGUAACAGACUUAAUCUCUAUUUAUAUAUAGUUCAUUUAUUUAAUUCUAACAAAAAUGUUACUUAGAUGUGCUGAUGAGAACAUGCAACCGACUUGACCAUAUUAAUGUGUAUAAACAAAUAGAAAUUGCCUCCUUGUCAACUACAUGUGAACAUGAUUUAUUUUACUUGUCAACUACAUGCACAAAAUUUGAUGUUGUAUGUUGAAUAGGGCCAUUUGACCCUAUUAUCUAUGAUCUUAAGAUAAUUAACUAGGCUUCACUCAUUCAAAAUACGGUGUAUAAUUAUUUUUUAUAUUUAUUUGAAUUAUAUAAUUGAUUAUUAGAGUUUCUUCAAAAUAUUUAUAUAAUUCUUUCUCUAGAUAUAAACUUUUUAAUUUUAAUUUUAUGUGAUAAAGAUUAGAGUACAUUACGGUGGACUUAAAUUUGAGAUAUUUGGCCUCAGACAUUAACCACUCUAUCAACGCACACACCACAUCAUUUUCUUGACUUGUAAAAUAAAUAAAUAAUUUUAAAGAUCGCAUGACGAUAGACUCGAAACUAAGAUCUUUGGCCUCACACGUACAUCUAAGCGUCAUUUAUUUUCUUUUGUUUUUAGCUGGUUAAACAAAUAUUUUAAAAAUCCGUGUGACGAUUGUGAUUAAAUGUCGUCAUAUCCCUUUAAAUCGUAGCUGCUUGUCUAAAUUAUUAAAUUGUUAAUUACUUUGACCAAAAUUGCAGGAUGAUAAUUGCUUCUAAAUGUCAACUAAUGGUUCGCAUUCCGUAUANUGAGAGGUGAGAGAUAGCAGAGCGUGAGAAGAAAUAAAAAAAAAAUUAAAAAUAGUCCACUUUUUGUUGAUCAGAGAUAAAGCUCCAUCCAUUCCCAUCUCUUAUAGCUAAAUCUUGGAGAAGAAUAUCUAAGAACCAAUUCCAACACCUUUAAUUCUCAACCUCCACCACUGCCCAUGCAAUUGGGAACAUUUGAUUGUUCCCAUCCUAAGCAUAAACAUAAACAAAUAAUUAGAUUCAUAUAUAAUAUAAAUGCUUGGUCAGUUUGUAUUAAGAUCAACAUAAGAAAGAAUUACCUUUCCAACAGACAGCCAAGAGAAUUCCACCUAAGUAGGUCUUUAGAAAGCAGCCAUCCAGCCCUAUAAUAGGCCUACAGCUCUUCUUGAAGCCAUGUCUCAGUGCACUAUGUCCAAUAUACAAGCCUCUGAAGACUGAACCCUCUCCCAGUAACAACCUAUAAGUCCCCUCCUUAUCAACCCUCAUCAAUUCAGCUACAUACCUCCUCAACAAGGCAUAAUGCCCUUCAACUGACCCUCUCAUCAUCUCUUGGCAAUAGUACCUUGCCUAUACAAUACUAUCCCUAGUUACAAUUGUCUUAUGCCUAUUCCUAAUGUCCUCAGCUAACAGUUUAAUAGGCAAGUUGGGCUGAACCCUGAAAACAUUUUGGUAUUUGGUUGCUAUCCAUCUAGAACUGACAAGCUUGUUAUUGGUUUUCCUUGUACAAGUGUGAUUGGGCACAUAAGUCUUAAUCAUGAAAGUAUCAUGAGCCUCCACAAGAGAUGCAAAUACAGUCCAUUUACAAGGUGGUGUGCACGUGGCUCUACAACUACCCUUUGUAACCUUCCCAAACCUGAUGUGUUUACCAUUUGCUAUAGCAUUAUCCCUAAGAGCUUCCUUACACUCAAAGCCAUCUGCAAAUCUCAUGCCUAGUUGCAGAUCAAGCUUUUUCGGCUUAGUCUUAGGCACAUAGGUAGAUCUGAACUUCCUACUUCUCUUACCCUCUAACUCCUCAUCUGUGGAAGCAGAGUCAUGAUCACCAGAGCUUGCAUAAUCUGACUCAGCAUUCUCAUGGUCAUAAACAUGAUUAAAUCCCAUCCCUUUCUCAGGCUCCUCAUCAACUAAAUCAAAUAUAUUUUUUUUAGCCUUCACAUUUUUUCUUGAGUUCUCAUACUCUUCAUCAUCUGGCACAAGUUCAUUAUCAGCCAAAUCAUCAUCAGAUGAUUCACCAUCUAUGGGUUUGUAAUCAGAGUCAUCAGAGUCAUUAUCUACUAACUCUCCAUCAUAUCCCCACUCACCCAAAUCUAUGGUUUCAUCAUCAUAAGCUGUCAAUUCACCCUCAUCUUCAUCAUCUGCCUCCUCACCACCAACCUUAGUGCUACUCUCACCAGUCUUAGCCACACUCUCACCAGCCUUAGUGCUACUCUCACCAGUCUUAGCCACAUUCUCACCACCCUUAGCCAUAUUCUCAACAGCAAGAUUUUGGUCAGAAGGAACUUCGGUCGAUAUAAUACCACCAUCAACAAAAACGUGCAAGACUCUACAAGAUGAAUUAAGACAACCAAGCAUAUCCAUGCAGUCUUUAUCAUUUUGAAGUAGUCUAAAGUUUUGGGUUCUAGGAAUUUGAUAACACAAUUUUUUCCAAGAGCCAUAACCAAGAUUCUUAACUAAAUCUUCAACAUCAAAAUACCCAAAUCUAUCAGGAUCAUGUUCAAAAGUUCCCUCACAUUCCCCCGCAUUAUAAAUAUCUUUCUUAUCGAAAUGCACGAAUUUACCACCAUGGUGAAUGUAGACUCCAAAUGAACUGUAAAAAAACCCAAACAAUAGGAAGAAAUCACAAAAAACCCUAGGAUCGACUACACACAAUAAAAACCCAAGUACAAAAUCAAUUUUAAAAAGCAGAAAAGCCCUACCUGUCCCUCAUUUCUCUCGCAAUUACUGUGCUCCUCGUGCUACGCUGGGACCACCUCCACAAAGGGUUUAUGACGAAAAAGACAACAGCUGCAGAUUAAACUAUUCUUCAAGUAGGGAUUUGAGCUAUACUUUAUUCAGAAAUCACAAUAAAGAUGGGAUUCAAAGGUUUCGAUUGAAGCAAAGACUUGAGAUUAUGAAGAAUCUCAUCGCGUCCUAUGAAUUUACAACCCUCAUUCCCAGACGACGUCGUUUUUGCUCUUUCUCUCCUCAACACAAAACGAUGUCGUUUGGGCAAAUUUUAAAGAAAUGUAUUUGUUAAUUACACGUGUUUCAUCCAACAAUUCAUUUUAAUUAUCAUGCAAUAGAAUAAACACGCUCAAAAUCCUUAGGCCAAAUAAGCUAAAUCGUCUAAUAAUUGAAACUUUUCACACAGAGCCUAAAUAACAUUUGUAAAGUGUUCUUCAUGUUUUCUUUUUUUUACUAUGUUUCUCUCUAUUUUUUCUUUAAUUUUUUUUAUGAACAUCAUCAAAUAUUUCAUUUUUUUUCUCUUCAUUAAUAUUUUAUAAUUUUUUAUUUAUAUUUGUGUAUGCAAAUAUUAAUUUAUUUAUUAUCACGCUUAUAAUAAUGAUAAUAUGCAAUGUCAAUUAUUAUUAUUAAAUAAUUUAAAUUUAUUUAAUAACUAUAAUUAUCAUUAUACUUAAUACAAAGUUGAAAAUAUACGUUUCAAAUCUAAUAUUUUAUUAAGUAAUUGAUAUGAAUUAUUUUAUUUUAUUCAAUUUUAUUAUUAAAACAUAGUAUUUUUAUUUGUUUAUAUUUUAUUUUAUUAAUAUUUUUUUUAUUAUUUAAUUUCUAAUGUUCGCUGUGCAUCGCACGAAUGGAUGUUCUAGUAUUUAAUUAAUUACUUAACAGAUUUUUACCAUCAACAUACAAAAUUACUCUACAAAAUUAGUUCAAACCCUAACUUUCUACUGCCGCUCACACCAUCGUCGCCGGAAGAAUCGGACCUCCUCGCCGCUAUUCCCUGGAGAGACACGCUACCUCCGCCGCUGUUCUGUAAACCUCCUUCGCCGCCUCUUCUCUCUACGGCGCUAGGCGAUUUGUCGGCGCCGCCCCUUCCCCCUUUGCCUCAGUCGAUCCGGCGCCGCCUCUUCCCCUGCCUCAAUCAGUCCGGCGCGAGAAAGCUUUUAAAUUAUGAGGGAUUGGGGUUUGGGUCUUCUCGACCCGACAACCGCCGUUCUAAGCCUCAGGCCUACCCUCAUCUCUCAAAAAUCGACGGGAACAAGAAAGCCCUAACUCUUCCUCUUACAUCUGAACUCGUCGCCGCCGUGGUUCCGAAAUAUCAGGCGACGUUGUCGCCCCAAGGCCGCCUGAAUUCUCCCCCAAGGCCGACAUUGGUCAGAUUUAGGGGAGGUCGCUCAAAAUUGAGCCUUAAUUCUCCCCCUUCCAGAUCGAGCCCUAGCUCUUCUCCUGCCGAUUCAGUUCUGCCGUUGCCGCCGCGUGUGGAAUACCUGCGAAUCGGCGUCCUCCCAUCUCUCUACACACGAAGUCUGAAGUCAAAGCCGGCUGCUCCUCUCUCUCCUGUAACGAACUAAUCGCCGCCGCUUCCGCUACGGUGGAGUCGUCGGGUUCGAGCCACGCCGUUGCUGUUGUUCUCGGACUUCACCGAGGCAGCAAGAGCAGUCGUCAUCAUCUUCGUCUCAGCUCGGCUGAACAGGGCAGUCGGCCUUCCCUCCUCCCAAAGCUAAGUUAAUCUAUAGCUCUAUUGUGCACUAAAUCUCAGGCUGGUUGCUAGCUUGUUUAAUAUUUUUUGAGUUAUGCUAAUUAAUUGAUGGUUGAUUGGUCGAAUUUCUUAACUAGGGUAUAAUCAUCCAAUCAGGUGGAAGAAAAGGUCUUGGAUUAAAUCAGGAUUUUUUUCAUCCAUUUCGAUCUUGAUGGCAUUAGGGAUUCUAUUGCAUAUGGCCAUGAAUUUUGCUCAAUGUUAAUUUUGGCUGCUUAAUUCUUCAUCGUUUUGGCUAUCAAGAUUGAUAUCACAUUUGAUGCAUUGCAGUGUAAUUUGUUGGAAGAUGCUGGGUGGAAAUUUUCAUGGCGUAGUGGAGGGAAAUCGCUCCCAAUACAAUAAAAUGGUAUCGCCUCAGCUUCAGUUAAUUGGACAUGGUGAGGAUAUGUUGUGGUUUUGUUAGAAAGUCUACCAUUUGCUACUUGUUUUUACCUUAAUAUAUUGCCAUUGAUCUUUUACUUGUCCAUUGAAAUAUACUCUAAUGGCCUUGCAUCAUACAGAGAGGCAGUGAUCAUUAGGGAAUACAGAAUGUGAUUUAGCAUUGUAAUGUGUUAUCUUUAAAUUCUUUGCAAACCAAAAGAGUUGGUGUUGGUAUUCUCCCUGCCUGAUCAUUGUGCGUAUAAUGAAUGCUGUGACCCAUUACUGCUGAUAUUACAUUGUUACAUGUCCGAGUGCCUUCAUUAGUUUCUGAUAAGUCAAAUAUGUUCCUCUGAUUGAGUGACUCGUGAAAGAUAUAUGAAAAUUCUUGUCCUUCUCUCACAAAGCAUCGGUUCUAGACUCUAGUUGUUAGGUUACAUACACAAGAUUGAGUUCAAGCUUGAGGUUCAAAUACGUUUAGUUUUCGUGUGAAGGUGGGCGAUGGCAGCCUGGCACUGCUUUGGUUUUUGUUUCCAUGCAUUUAGAAAGGGCUUGUUCCUUUUUUUUAAGAAAAAUAUUAGUGCUCCAUUGACAUGUAGCUUUCUUUUGUUUAUACAUCUUCUUCACUUGUUAUAUGUGGUAAGGCAAUAACCUCCCUGGUUUCGAACCAUCAAUCCAGUUCAAAUGCUCUCAUUAAAGAUGACAAUAAUUAUAUGUAUAAUGAAGGUUAAGAAGCUCUGAUACCUGUGAAACUCUUACCUUGUACAUUCAAUUUUAUCUUCUUUCUACUUCUGACACAUGAAUUCAUUUCCCACUGACAUCAUUGUUUGGUUGCUCAUAAUUUUUUUCACCUGAUGUGAUCCUUGUGUAGUGAUGACCUUCAGGUGGCAUUAGAGGAUGUUGUUUAUGACUUGGUGCUGAAGUGGUCCCGAUUCCAUUAUCAAAAGCUGGAGGAGCGUCGGGACAUCCUAUGUUCACAAUUGGGUGGCUAUAUCCGUUACCCCGUACAUAACGUGGCUAAUAUGUAAUGUUGGAUGAAAUUUGUUUCAAUGUAAUAUUGGAUUAAUAAUGUUUGAAUGAAUGUAUGGAUUUUUAGUAUUAAUAUAUGUAUUUUUAGUUUUCUAUUAUGAGUUUUUAGUAUUGGUAAAUAUAUAUUUAAAAAAUCAGGAAAUAUAAAUAAAUUACAAAAAAAAUAUUGUAACAUAAGAAAUAGACAACAAUCUGGAAAACUGUGGUCUAUCAAUAAAUAGAUUGUUGUCUAUACAAAAAAAUUGCGGUCAUAGACAACGGUUUUAAAAACCGUUGUCUAUAUUCGAAUAGACAACGGUUUUCUGACUGUUGUCUAUCAGAGAAUAGACAACGGUGUUCUGACCGUUGUCUAUGACCGCCCUCAAAUAGACAAUACCUUCAUUUACAACAGUUGAUUUUCUAAUAGACAACGGGUUUUGUCCGUUGUCUAUUAGCAUUUUUCUUGUAGUCCUAUAAUCCAUAUCCCAAAUUAAAAAUAAUAUUUUCUCAAAACCAAAUUAAAUUUCAAAACUUGGAGGAAGUGAAGCUAAAAAAUGAAGUGAGGAAGUGAAGAAAAGCGUCAGAGGAAUUUGCAUGGAUGAGAGGUGCCAUUUGCGGAUCUCGAUCAACUUCUUGUUUCUCGACUGAGAGAGAGAAGAAUAUAUGGUGAUUUCUAAUGUAUUGUGGUUGGUGAAUUUUAUUGGUUAAAAAAAAUCCAUCAUUAAUUUAGGAGUUAUGAAUUUCCCCAUUAAAAUGUGAUAAGAAAUUCAUUUUUUUUCUCAUAAUAAAUUUACAAUUAAAGAAAAUAUACCUUAAGAAAGAGAGGGUCAAUUUCAAGGAGAAACAUGUCAACAGUUAAACAACUUUGGAAGCAUUUGGAUUUUAAUGAGAAGAAGGGAGAAUAAAUAUUCAAAUUAAUCAAACAUUUAAUUAUGAAGGAUAUGGAAGAUAAAUCAAUGAACUCUAAAAAUCUAUUUAUAUAAUGUAUUUAAAAGAAUGCAUAAUUAUAUAUACAUAUAAAUAUCUAUAGGGGGCCGCUCCAAUGAGACCCCCUAAUUUUAGUGAGAUCUAGGGCACGAUCUGGUGCAUUUAUUUUGUCAAUCCUAUGGCUGAUAUUGUAUCUGGAGGGUGAUUUUUUUUUCGCAGGGUUCGAAUCCUGGAGAGAGCAGAAUAUUUUAAUUUUGUUAUUCAUCAGUAUAUACUGCAUUGUUCAUCAGUAUAUACGGCCCUUUUCAUCAGUAUAUAUGUCUUAUUCAUUACGAAUUUUUUAAAUUUUAUUUAUCAUCAGUAUAUACAUCUUGUUCAUUAGAUAUACGUUUUGUUCAUUAGUAUUAUAUGUCUUAUUCAUUGUACUCAUGUUACACGAAAAAUAAGGGGUCUCACUGGAGCGCGCCCCAAUAUAUAUAUAUAUAUAUAUAUAAAUUAAAUGUAUGUAUAAUCUUAUUUUUGAAAGGAUUUAAAAAGAUAAUAAUGUGAUGUAACUAUAUGACGAGGUUUGGUGACGUCCAAACUAUCUAUAUAAAAUGACGUAACUGACUUAAUCUCUAUUUAUAUAUAGUUCAUUUAUUUAAUUCUAACAAAAAUGUUACUUAGAUGUGCUGAUGAGAACAUGCAACCGACUUGAUCAUAUUAAUGUGUAUAAACAAAUAGAAAUUGCCUCCUUGUCAACUACAUGUGAACAUGAUUUAUUUUACUUGUAAAAAUAUAGUAAACUAAUUUGCUAUCAUAACGAGCCACGUAGCAAUGAAUUUAGAAAUCAAUGAAACCGAUUAUAAAUUCAAGAAAUUAUAAAUAUAUGUUGACUGUAACUCACUCCCAAGAUAUUCCAUCCCUCCAAUUUAUUAAAAACGACUUCUAGAAAAAUCUUCAUUUGAUGCAUAUUAUAUAUAUCGAUCAGAACCUUCUAACUUCGAAGUAGUUAAUAUAGAAAUACAGCUUGGGAGAGUAAAAUUAACUUGAGUGUCGGAGGUUCUUCUAUUAACACCCCUUCGGUGCUCUCCAAUGUGUGUUUGUGGUUUCAGGUUGCCGGUGUCUUCCAUUCAGAACGAACUCUAACGUCUACUUCCAUAAUUGUUGGAUCUAUCCCCAACACCACAACGCACCAUGCUCCAAAUGCACCACCACUUAACUUGAAUUGAAUGUCGGAAACGAGUAUCAAGCGUCGAGUAUUAAGCAUUGAUGCAUGCUAGAUUGCGAUGCUUAAUGCUCGAUGCCCGGUCUAGCAUGGAGGAAUAGUUCUAUACCCGAGUCUCAGGGUUUUUUAGGAUAAUAACUUCGAUUGAUUUGGAAAUUAGGACAAUAACUUUUAUUUGUAACAACUAUUGUCAAUGAUAGAAAAUUGUUUAUUACUCCGUCCGUUUAUUAUAAGUAACUCAAAACUUUUCGGGACAAAAAUUAAGGAGAACUUGUAAAUUGGUUAAAAGUGGUAGGAUCUAAACUUUUUAAAGGGCUAAAUAUUUCCAUUUAUGGAAACAUGCCACUUAUAGUCGUGGGACAGCUCAGAAUGAAAUAAAAAUCACUUUUAGUGAAACAGAUGAAGUAUUAAUUUCUAAUUCAGUUUCAAUAUACCAUGAAUUUCUUAUAAUUGUUCUUGUAAAAGUAUUUGAGCAUAUGUAUUUAACAAAUCCAAUAUGCUAUCAUAAAAAUCCACGUAGCAAUGACUUUUGAAAACAAUGAACCGAUUAUAAUGUGAAGAAAUUAUUAAUAAUGACUGUAACUCAGUCAAGAUGAUUUCAUUCCCCAAAUUUAAAUACUCCCUUCGUCCCAUGAAGCAUGACCUAUUUCUUUUCGGCACGGAAAUAAGAAAUUGAUACUUUGUGUAUUAAGUGUGGUAGGUGAAAAAGUGAAAAGAUGAAUAAAGGGUAAAUCUUUUUCUAUUUUUAGAAACAUGUCAAGCUUCGUGUAACAACUCAAAAAGGAAAAUGAGUCCUGCUUCGUGGGACGGAGGGAGUACUACUUUUAGACUAAUCUUCGUUUCAUACUAUGAUUCGACCUUGUAAGUAGCUAAUGCAGAAAUAUAGCUUUGAAUAAGAAACAUUGAGAAUUUCGAUUAUAAAAGGCGCUAAACUAAAUAAAAUAUCGACGAAAUACAAAAUUGUAAGGUGACAUGCAUAUUAUAAGGAAAAACGACAAAAGAAGACGAUCCUAUCGUCUUCUUCAAUUAAGUCCAUCCAUUUCCAUUUCCAUUUCCAUGUCCAUUUCCAGUGUGAAGCUAUUUUACACGUUAAUUAUAUAAGUGAUAUAUAGUGGUUCCAGUUUUGGUUAGAUUAUAAUUAGGGUUUGCUUUCAGGAAUACUAGGUGUUUGAUGAAAUGCUUCAAUAACAAUACAAACACACUAUUUCAUUUCAUUAAAAUCCCAUAACAUAUUGAGAUACGGAGAAAAUAAACAGACACAGUCCUUAUUAUCACACACAUAGAAAAAAGCACACACACGAACACGAUGGACUUUGGUCGCGAAUGAAUCGAGCCGUUGACGAGAUCAUAUGGUGGAUUUGAAACCCCACGACAUGACGUCGUGAACCGCGGUGUAGUCGCCCGUGGAGGAGGCGAGGCCAACAUCAACUUUGGGAGGAAGAAUAUCGCUCAACUUGUACUCAAAGCUCACCGGGAAAGUCUGCAUGUCAUCGCUGACGGAGGCACUGAUUAAUUCGGUGGCCGCGACGUAGGAGACCUCGAGAGUCAGAUCCACCCCGAUGAACGAGUAGGGGACCUGGAUGACACUCUUGGGAAUCCUAGACUCGAUGCAGAUGCCGAGAUUGAUGUAGCCCGGGGUGGUGGGGUAGAUGUCUAAGGCGACGGCGAAGACGUGGGAGCUUUUGCCGGAGGCCUCGAAGAUCCCGAGGUUGCCGCCUUGGGCGGUGCUGGGGAAUUUGUGGCCGUGGGGAACUAUGAAGAAGACAAGGCCAUCGGCGUGGGUCGUUGUGGCCGUCGGUCUCACGAUGAAUUUCACCGUGGUUUCGAAGUCGGCUUUCACCCCUGCGUGCCCGAACGCCACCGGUUUGGAGUAGAGGACGCGGCCGGUGCUGUGCUGCUGCGGAAUGUCGUGAUUGUCGGUUUUGGUGAGGCGGAGGACGGGGGUCUCGCUCGGGAAGUGAGCGUCCACUUGGUAGAUUAGUUCCUUCGGCUUCGACUCGUAGAAGUCGAAGUCGAAUUCGGGUGGUGGAGCCAUGGAUGCAGAUAGAUAGAUAGAUAGAUAUUUGCUUUGGGAUUGGGUGAAUAGAGCAUGCAAAGCUCUCUUGUAUUUAUACUAGUCUAGAGCAAUUAAGGUUACAUAUUAUAUACUUUAAUUAAAUAGCUUGCUGUGUUUUUUGGGAUUUUAGGCUGGAUCAACAACUUCUCUAUUCAUGUGCAACUUACAUGAUAAAACAACUGAUAUAUGAAAAUAAAAUGAAACACAAUGUGUGAGGUCAGGUGGCUACACAUUUCGUCGAACAGUUACAGAUCUUGAUCUCAACAACCCAAUUUCCCAAGAUUUAUCUCAUUAGACAUUACUGCACUCGCAAAUCUAAAAUUAAGAAAUUUCAAUAAUAAUAAAAUUCAUCAUUCAAGAAACUAUCAUCUUUUGUGUUGCCACAACCCGGAUUUUUUAUAUUUAAUUCCUCUUUAAUCUUUUCUUUUGCUUUGUGUAAUUUUUAUUCAUCAGGGUUUAAACUUGACAGCCUGAGAAUAGCUUCCAGUUUCUGCCAUUCGUAGAAAAGAAAUAGAAGAACAAUAAAUAAAAAAAAUUAAUAAGUUGUAAUGUAUUUCUUCAGGCAUUAAUCACUCUACCACUAAGCCAACACACUCAUAUAACAUAUCUUAAUUCCUUUUGGAUUAAUCAUAUUUUGUAUCCUCGAGUUUCGUUAGUUUUAAUUUCAAAGAAUGUCCCCAACUUUCGUUUUCUAUUUACAAACCCUCACCGAUUAGGUUUUUGUUUUAAAAAAAAUUAUCUUGCUAUACAAAAUUUGACAAUGGAACGAUGAGUUACCCUCUCUAAAUUCUUAUCUUUAACUUUUUUUCCACCUCACCCAAUAAAAUGAAGUCGUUCCACCUAACAAUCCAAAGAAGUGACUCAUCAUUCCAUCACCAAAUUAUAUAUAUAGGGGCGCGCUCCAGUUAGACCCGCUAUUUUUCGUGAGACACUGAGGAUAAUGAGAAAUCAUAUUUUUGUAGAUAAAAAUACUCAAUCAUGUAAAGCAAACGUCCACAGUGUCCCAUUAUUAUUUAUAACUGUACAUUUUUGGGAAACAUUGAAAGUUGAAGAUAUUUUUUGGAAAAUAAUUUUUGGAGAUAAAACAUACUAAUUUAAUUCUUUCGGAAGAAAAAAAACAUAUAUUUAGAAGAUAGGAUGAAGGUGGACUUAAAAUUCGAGACCUAAUUUAGCUUAAUUUAUACAUUAACCACUCUAUUAAAGCACACAUCACAUCAUUUUUCUUGUAGAAGAAACAAAUAAUUUUAAAGAGAGCAUAUGACAAUAGACUCAAACAUAAGAUCUUUGGCCUCAUAUAUUAACUAUACUAUCACUAGACCAAUACACGAACAUCUAAACAUCAUUUAUUUUCUUUUUUCUUUUCUUUUGGUAGGUUAAACAAAUAUUUUAAAAUCCGUGCGGUUGUGAUGAAAUGUUGUCCCCUUUAAAUUGUAGCUGCUUGUCGAAAUAAAUUGUUAUUUGCUUUGACCAAAAUUGUAGGAUAAUAAUUGCUUCUAAAUGUCAUCUAAUUAAUAGUUCGCAGUCUGUAUAUGUCAAACUGUUUAGAAACCGAUAUUAUUCAAAUUGAUGGAUUCAAAAAUUUGAUAUUUUGAGAAUUGAAAGUGUACUGGUUGUUAGGCGUAACUAAGUGGAGUAUUUAAUAUGACCUCACAUGGUGAGAUUCUCAAAAAAAUUCCAAAUAAUUUAAUUAUGUAACACUUGAUUACUGGUUGUUAGGCGUACCUAAGUGGAGUAUUUAAUAUGACCUCACAUGGUGAGAUUCUCAAAAAAAUUCCAAAUAAUUUAAUUAUGUAACACUUGAUUAUGAUAUAAUUAUAAAAAGAUAAGAUAUAUUAAGGUGUUACAUAUUUGGUUUAAAACCAUAAUAAAUUUUCAAAUUUUGGUUUUUCCCACAAACUUUCAUUCUUGUUUCAAAAUACAUAAAAAAUUCUUUUUUUUUGGAAUUUCCCAUAGUGUGACUUUCCGGCGAAUUUUUUGAAUGACGUGUCUCCGAAUUUGAAUGAUGUGGCAUAUUUAAGGGUUAAGUACCACUUUUUCCCUCAACGUUGACACCCAUAUCGCCUUUAACACCCUAACGUUAGGAUUGACGCUGUUUACUACCUCAACAUUUCAAAAUUGAAGCAAAAUGCCCCCACGUUUUAACGGCUGCCCCAAGCGCAGCGCUAAUAGGAUCAAGCACCAUUAAAACGCAGGAGGCAAUUAGAUUGUCAUGUUACAUGCAUAAUUUCCAUAUAAUUACAUUGUAUUGCCACGUCAUUUAAAUUUUUGAUCGGAAUCUGUCAUCGUGGGAAAUUCCAAAAAAAAAAAGAUUUAUUAUGAAUUUUGAAACAAAAAUGAAAGAUUGUGGGAAAAACCAAAAUUUGAAAAUUUAUUAUGAUUUUAUACCAAAUUUACCCUUUAUUAAAUAUUACUCAUUCACAAAUAAUGGCCCUUUUUUUUUUAGCAUUACAUUAAGAAAGUACCGCUGUUUAAAGCUCUAAAUUAAGGAACCCUACUUAUUGCAUAAAACGAAUUUUCGGUAUUUAUAAAUAAAAGACCUUAAAACUGGAUUAAUUUUGGCUAUUAUCAGUGGGACGAAGGGAGUAUAUAUAUUGAGAAUUAAUCCCUUCCUUUUAAAGGAUAUGGCAGACGGAUUUUUGAAUUCAAAAAUCCAUUUAUAUAAUGUAUUGAAAAGAAUGCAUAAUUAUAUAUACAUAUAAAUAUAUAUAUAUAUAUAAAUUAAAUGUAUGUAUAAUCUUAUUUUUGAAAGGAUUUAAAAAGAUAAUAAUGUGGUGUAACUAUAUGCAUGACGAGGCUUGGUGACGUCCAAACUAUCUAGAUAAAAUGACGUAACAGACUUAAUCUCUAUUUAUAUAUAGUUCGUUUAUUUAAUUCUAACAAAAAUGUUACUUAGAUGUGCUGAUGAGAACAUGCAACCGACUUGACCAUAUUAAUGUGUAUAAACAAAUAGAAAUUGCCUCCUUGUCAACUACAUGUGAACAUGAUUUAUUUUACUUGUAAAAAUAUAAACAAAUAUACACUUGGUGAAGUGUAUCAAUUUUCUAUCAUAACGAGCCACGUAGCAAUGACUUUAGAAAUCAAUGAAACCGAUUAUAAAUUCAAGAAAUUAUAAAUAUAUGUUGACUGUAACUCACUCCCAAGAUAUUCCAUCCCUCCAAUUUAUUAAAAACGACUUCUAUAAAAAUCUUCAUUUGAUGCAUAUUAUAUAUCGAUCGGAACCUUCUAACUUCGAAGUAGUUAAUAUAGAAAUACAGCUUGGGAGAGUAAAAAUUAACUUGAGUGUCAGAGGUUCUUCUAUUGACACCCCUUCGGUGCUCUCUAAUGUGUGUUUGUGGUUUCAGGUUGCCGGUGUCUUCCAUUCAGAACGAACUCUAACGUCUACUUCCAUAAUUGUUGGAUCUAUCCCCAACACCACAACGCACCAUGCUCCAAAUGCACCACCACUUAACUUGAAUUGAAUGUCGGAAACGAGCAUCAAGCGUCUAGUAUUAAGCAUUGAUGCAUGCUAGAAUUGCGAUGCUUAAUGCUCGAUGCCCGAUCUAGCAUGGAGGAAUAGUUCUAUACCCGAGUCUCAGGAUUUUUUAGGACAGUAACUUCGAUUGAUUUGGAAAUUAGGACAAUAACUUUCGGACUUGUAAAAAUAGGAUAGUGAUUAAUAAGCGUUGCACCCGCAGGACAUUUUUCGGCCAAUCAUCGAAUCUUCGGAUUUUUCCGCACGACCCAAGCACAUCUUUUUUACAGCUCCAGGUAGGAUGUCAUGUGCUUGGUCCGAACAGGAAAGUCCGAAAAUUCGAUAAUUGGUUGAGAAAUGUCACUUGGGUGCAACGCUUAUUUGUUAGUGUCCUAUUUUUACAAGUCCGAAAGUUAUUGUCCUAAUUUCCAAAUCAACCUAAGUUACUGUCCUAAAAAACCCACUGACUCGUUCUAUACCCCACUUAGUUUCCACCAUACAUAGUAGAAACUAAUUAAUAAUCAAUUAUUAGUUCAAAUAAAUAUAAAAAAUAACUAUAAACCCUAAUUAGAUCGAUGAGUGAAUCCUAGUUAAAUAUUUAAAAGUUAUAGUAAAAUAUAAAUAAAUUAAUACGGAAGAAAAAAAAUUAUAAAUUAAAAGUUAAAUAUAUUAAAUUGUGGGAUAGAGGACUUCAUGUGGGGUACUAGCUAGGGGUGCUGAAAACAAACUCUUUUAAUAGUUUUGGUAUUUUAUUUGUAACAACUAUUGUCAAUGUUAGAAAAUUGUUUAUUACUCCGUCCGUUUAUUAUAAGUAACUCAAAACUUUUCGGGACAAAAAUUAAGGAGAACUUGUAAAUUGGUUAAAAGUGGUAGGAUCUAAUUUUUUUAAAGGGCUAAAUAUUUCCAUUUAUGGAAACAUGCCACUUAUAGUCGUGGGACAUCUCAGAAUGAAAUAAAAAUCACUUUUAGUGGAACAGAUGAAGUAUUAAUUUCUAAUUCUGUUUCAAUAUACCAUUAUUUAAGGCCAUUAUCUUAGGGCAAUUUGCAAAAAUAUGCCACUAUUUCUCGAACUUGCAAAAAUAGGCCAAUUAUUUUAAUUUUUGGUAUUCUUAGGCCACAUAUGUAAAAGUGGCCUAUAAAUGCUGAAUCGAGCACAAAUGUGGUCUAAAAAUACCAAAAACUAAAAUAAUUGGCCUAUUUUUACAAAUCCGAAAAAUAGUAGCUUAUUUUUGCAAACUGCCCUAAAAUAAUGGCCUUAAAUAAUUUUAAACUCCACAUUAAUAUUGUCAAGUCGGUUGCAUGUUCUUAUCAGCACAUCUAAGUAAUUAACUUUAAUUUAUUGUCGGAUUAAAUAAAUUAACUACUCCAUAUGAAUAGAGAUUAACUAUGUUACGUCAUUUUAUUUAGAUAGUCUGGACGUCACCAAGCCCUCGUCAUAUUGAAGAUAGUCUAGAUACAUGACAUUAUUAUCUUUUUAAUUAUUUCAAAAAUAUGAUUAUACCAAGCAUGAUCAGGUAAUUAAAUCUCACUAUCGUAGUAUCCAUGUAUUUUUUGUAUAUAUAAUUAUGAAUUUUUUUAAUUACAUUAUAUCUGCAUUUUUGUGUUCAACAUUAUGCAUUUUUAUAUUUAACAUUAUGCACUGUUAAGGGAAUGAUCAGUAGUUCUCAAUAUACUCAGCUCUCUCCGUCUCACUAAUAAUGGCCACAAAUCCAUUUUAUGAUAUUUCAUUUAUAAUUAUCCAAAACUCACUUUGCUUAAUAAAUCUUAUAUGGAAUUAUUAGGAUUGCCACACAUUCUUAAUCAAGUGUUACAUAAUUAAUUAAGUUAUUUGGAAUUUUUUUUGAGAAUCUCACUAUGUGCGGUCAUUCUUAGGUAGGCCUAACAACCAGUGCACUUUCAAUUCUCAAAUUUUCAAAUUUUUGAAUCCAUCAAUUUAAAUAAUAUCGGUUUCUAAACAGUUGACAUAUACGGAAUGCGAACCAUUAGUUGACAUUUAGAAGCAAUUAUCAUCCUGCAAUUUUGGUCAAAGCAAUUAACAAUUUAAUAAUUUAGACAAGCAGCUACGAUUUAAAGGGAUAUGACGACAUUUAAUCACAAUCGUCACAGGGAUUUUUAAAAUAUUUGUUUAACCAGCUAAAAACAAAAGAAAAUAAAUGACGCUUAGAUGUACGUGUGAGGCCAAAGAUCUUAGUUUCGAGUCUAUCGUCAUGCGAUCUUUAAAAUUAUUUAUUUAUUUUACAAGUCAAGAAAAUGAUGUGGUGUGUGCGUUGAUAGAGUGGUUAAUGUCUGAGGCCAAAUAUCUCAAAUUUAAGUCCACCGUAAUGUACUCUAAUCUUUAUCACAAAAAAUUAAAAUUAAAAUGUUUAUAUCUAGAGAAAGAAUUAUAUAAAUAUUUUGAAGAAACUCUAAUAAUCAAUUAUAUAAUUCAAAUAAAUAUAAAAAAUAAUUAUACACCAUAUUUUGAAUGAGUGAAGCCUAGUUAAUUAUCUUAAGAUCAUAAUAAUUAAAAUAUAAGAAAAAAUAAUUAUAACUUGUAAAUUUAAAGUGAAGCACAUUAAAUUAAUUGUGGAGGACCCNUAUAAAGAAUAGAGAAUAAAUACUUACCGUCAGAUCUGAAGAAAAAACGGCUAUGAUCAAUUCUGAAUAUUCAUUAAAAUCUGUUUAAUAAUAAAACCAUUUAAUAUUCGAAAAAGGGCUAUUCAGUCUUUUACACAAAACAAACGAUCUUCCCAAAUCUCUCCCCCCGAAUUACACGCUCCACCUUCCGUUCAUUAUUCUGAAACACUAGGGUUUUCAUAAUUCCUGCAAAUCGAAACAUCCAUUGAAGACCCUCGGUUUCUAAAUUGAAGAGAGGCGACAGUGGUAAGUUUUUAAACUUUUAACAAAGAUUCAAACAGCUUUCGAUAUAAAAUCUGUUCGAAUAAUAUAAGUGAUGUUUUUUUUCUCGUUUUCAAAGUAACACAUUGCCGAUCUGGCUUUCCCCCCCCCCCCCCCCUUUUGGUGUUGUAGUAUGCUGUUCAAAGGUCCAUGUGUCUUUUUCAUAUAAAAAAUUUGCAGAUUUGGAAUUUUUGUUUGUUUUUAAUGUUAUGCUGGAAUUAGUUCCCGGGUCCCCAAAUAAUUGUUUUUAAUUGGGUCAAAUUGAUAUGUAUUCAUUGAUUUAAAAUUUUUAAACCAAAUUUUAAUAUUUUUGUUCUGAUUUCCGAAAAUUUGUGAUGCACAGGUUGUUCAUCAUCAAAUGACGAAAUACAUGGGGGAAAUGUGGAACAAUCGAACAAUAGUAGUGACGAGGGUAAUGAAUACUUGCGUUCAAUUAUUUGUGUCUUCAUAUUCUAAAUAUUUAUUUGUUUAUUCGAAUUAAUAUAUGUUCGAAAUUUAUUCCUGGUCUGAAUUAUUCACCUAUUUAAGGUCAACAUUACAUAUAUUGGUAUUCUAAAUGUUUGUUUGUUUAUUCAAGAAAAUUUGUGCUUCAAAUUUACACAUGUUUUGAAUUAUUAACGUAUUUACGUUCACCAAUUUGUGUAAUGUUGAAUUCACCAAUUGCUAAGCUGAAGUUGAAUUCUGUUUUUUCUUAUUUGUGAUUUAUUGAUUAGGCUGCAUUUGGUGUAUGGAAGAGUCUGAUUCCGUGAGCAAGCAAGAUGAUAGUGAAAGUUGUCAAGGUGGGAUGGGUGAUAAUAUCGUCCGAGAAAGAGAUAUGCAAGCAGGAUUUGUGGCUUUAGAAUGAGUUGAUGAACAACUAUUCAUAGUGUUCAGACAUUAUUGUGCGAUAUUCAUUACUGAAUAAUAUUUAUUCAGAACUUAUUAAUGUUAUUUAGAACUUAUUUAUAACUGAAUAGUAGUUAUUCGAAAGGUACACUAGAUUAUUCAGAACUUAUUCAUGUUAUUCAGUUUCAUGUUUCACUUAUUCGAUUAAUAACAAAGUGGUAUUCGAUGAAUUUUUAAUAUUAAUUACUAUAAUUUUAGUGAAUUAUGCAGUUAACUUUUGUGUUAGUUAGCUUAUGUGUUAUUCAGUAUAUAUUGUAGUUUAUUUGUUAAAUUUAUAUAUUUAUUCAGUAUAAUUUAUAGUUGUAUUUGCAAAAUUUAUUAUAAAUCAUUUUGCACCUAAAAAUAUAUAUAUGUGUACUUAUAUAAGGAUAUAAUUUCAUUUUAUAAUAUUAGUCUUACUGAAUGGAUCUAUAUUAACAUAUAAUAUUUAUAAACUGAAUAAACUUUCAAUGUUUGAGAAUAAAGUGAAAAGUAUAUUGAAUAUGUUACAAAAUAUGAAAUACAGACUCUGUUGAAUGAACCUUUAACUGAUCUGAAUAAUUUAACAUAUUGUAUUUAUAAACUGAAUAAACUUUUUUAUAAACUGAAUAAACUUUCAAUGUUUGAGAAUAAAGUUAAAAAUAUACUGAACAUGUUACAAAAUAUGAAAUACAGACUCUGCUGAAUGAACCUUUAACUGAUUUGAAUAAUUUAACAUAUUGUAUUUAUAAACUGAAUAAACUUUCAAGUUGUGCGAAUAAUGUGAACAAUCUACUGAAUAUGUUUCAAAACGUGAAAUAAGCUGAAAUAAUAAUAUAAUUUAUAAAAAAAAUGAUAAACUAAAUCUUUCGAAUAAUAUUAUAAAAUUAUGAGUAUUCUAUAAUGAAGUCUGAUUAUUGAUAUGAUAGAGAAUUGUGAAAAAAAAAUAUCAUAAAUAACGUAAUAUAUAUUUGGAAUAGGAAGAGGGAUGGUGUGAUAUUUUAAUUUUUUUUUAUGUAUAUUUUGUUCUUUAAGUUCCAAAUUUUCUAAACCAAUUAUUAUAUGAUAUCUCUAUUGUUGUUAGCCUUUAAUUUAUAGUCCCAUAUUUAAUUAUAUACAGUUGAUGAAUUUAAAAUAGUAAUUAUUUAUUUAUUUUUAACUACAAACCCAAUUUUUCAUAUUAUUAAAAGUGAGUCUCUUUUUAUAUAGUGUUCUUAGAUUUGGCAAAUUUGAUUGUAAAUUACUUUUGAUAAUAGGAUCACGAUUGAAUUUAAAGAAGACCAACAUUUUAAUAAUGAAAAGAAUUGGAAAAUAAAAAUGGAAAUAAUGGGUUACAGUAAUGAAAUGCAGAAUGAUGCAUUAACUAAUUUCUAGGGAUACACUAUAUCUUGCCAAAUAUAAAAUACAUUGAAUGAAUUAAUUAUAGAUAAUAUCGGUUACAUAAUAUUAUAGAUUUACUCAUUUGCCUUUUUGAUUUAAAUACAUGAAAAUAUUCAAAUUUUGUGGUCCGUAGAUCUUGCAUAAUAAACUCAAGAUUGUUUCUUCAUUCUCCCUACAUUUGAAUUCUUUAUUGAUCCAUUCCCUAUUAUAGUAUGUGAUUUAUAAACUAUCAUACAAUUACACAUAAAUUUACAUAUAUUGUAGUCUGUGAUUGAUAGUCUUGAUUUAUAUUCCUUUUGUGAUUUAUAAACUUCAUAGGAGGGAGUGACACAAGUUUUAAAAAUAUGUUGUUGAGUGUAUUAAGAGUGGAGAAAAAAUUAUUGAGUGUAUUGAGAAUGGUGAAAAAGUAUUNACACAAAUAAUUGAACGCAAGUAUUCAUUACCCUCGUCACUACUAUUGUUCGAUUGUUCCACAUUUCCCCCCUGUAUUUCAUCAUUUGAUGAUGAACAACCUGUGCAUCACAAAUUUUCGGAAAUCAGAACAAAAAUAUUAAAAUUUGGUUUAAAAAUUUUAAAUCAAUGAAUACAUAUCAAUUUGACCGAAUUAAAAACAAUUAUUUGGGGACCCGGGAACUAAUUCCAGCAUAACAUUAAAAACAAACAAAAAUUCCAAAUCUGCAAAUUUUUAUAUGAAAAAGACACAUGGACCUUUGAACAGCAUACUACAACACCAAAAGGGGGGGGGGGGGGGGGAAAGCCAGAUCGGCAAUGUGUUACUUUGAAAACGAGAAAAAAACAUCACUUAUAUUAUUCGAACAGAUUUUAUAUCGAAAGCUGUUUGAAUCUUUGUUAAAAGUUUAAAAACUUACCACUGUCGCCUCUCUUCAAUUUAGAAACCGAGGGUCUUCAAUGGAUGUUUCGAUUUGCAGGAAUUAUGAAAACCCUAGUGUUUCAGAAUAAUGAACGGAAGGUGGAGCGUGUAAUUCGGGGGGAGAGAUUUGGGAAGAUCGUGUGUUUUGUGUAAAAGACUGAAUAGCCCUUUUUCGAAUAUUAAAAUGGUUUUUAUUAAUUAAACAAGAAUUUUUAAUGAAUAUUCAGAAUUGAUCAUAGCCGUUUUUUCUUCAGAUCUGACGGUAAGUAUUUAUUCUCUAUUCUUUAUACUAAGGGGAUUCUCUAUGGAUCCCUACCCUAUAUAUAUAUAUAUAUAUAUAUUUCUCAAUAUUUAUAUGUAUAUAUAAUUAUGCAUUCUUUUCAAUACAUUAUAUAAAUGGAUUUUUGAAUUCAUAAAUCCAUCUGCCAUAUCCUUUAAAAGGAAGGGAUUAAUUCUCAAUAUAUAUACUCCCUUCGUCCCACUGAUAAUAGCCAAAAUUAAUCCAGUUUUAAGGUAUUUUAUUUAUAAAUACCGAAAAUUCGUUUUAUGCAAUAAGUAGGGUUCCUUAAUUUAGAGCUUUAAUGUAAUGCUAAAAAAAAUAAAAAUUGGGCCAUUAUUUGUGGAUGAGUAUUAAAAAUAGGACUUCUAAAUAGUUGACAUAUACGGAAUGCGAACCAUUAGUUGACAUUUAGAAGCAAUUAUCAUCCUGCAAUUUUGGUCAAAGUAAUUAACAAUUUAAUAAUUUAGACAAGCAGCUACGAUUUAAAGGGAUAUGACGACAUUUAAUCACAAUCGUCACACGGAUUUUUAAAAUAUUUGUUUAACCAGCUAAAAAACAAAAGAAAAUAAAUGACGCUUAGAUGUACGUGUGAGGCCAAAGAUCUUAGUUUCGAGUCUAUCGUCAUGCGAUCUUUAAAAUUAUUUAUUUAUUUUACAAGUCAAGAAAAUGAUGUGGUGUGUGCGUUGAUAGAGUGGUUAAUGUCUGAGGCCAAAUAUCUCAAAUUUAAGUCCACCGUAAUGUACUCUAAUCUUUAUCACAAAAAAAUUAAAAUUAAAAAGUUUAUAUCUAGAGAAAGAAUUAUAUAAAUAUUUUGAAGAAACUCUAAUCAUCAAUUAUAUAAUUCAAAUAAAUAUAAAAAAAUAAUUAUACACCAUAUUUUGAAUGAGUGAAGCCUAGUUAAUUAUCUUAAGAUCAUAAAAUUAAAAUAUAAGAAAAAAAUAAUUAUAACUUGUAAAUUUAAAGUGAAGAACAUUAAAUUAAUUGUGGAGGACCCCAUGAUGGGCAUAGGGGGUGCUGAAAACAAACUCUUCUAAUGUUUUUUGUCUUUUAAUUGUAACAACUCAUGAUAUUUUCGAUAAUAGGAAAUUGUUUAUUAUUUCUUCUGUUUCAAUAUAAUAAUACCAUGAAUGUCUUAUAACUGAUAUUAUAAAAGCAUUUCAGCAUAUGUAUUUUUGUAUAAUUUUACAAGAUCCACAAAAUACGCGCUUCUCUUAUUAACAUUAAACACUGCCUACUUGUAUUUAAUAAAUCCAAUAUGCUAUCAUAAAAAGCCACGUAGCAGUGACUUUUGAAAUAAAUGAAUAUUGUAGUGAAGAAAUUAUAAAUAUUGACUGUAUGAACUAAUCUUCGUUUCAUACAUAUCAUCUAACCUCGUAAGUAGCUAAUGCGGAAAUAUAGCUUCAAUAGAAAACAAUGAGAAUUUCGAUUAUAAAAGGUGUUAAACAAAAUAAAAUAUCGAGUACAUUUUCUUUAUAUAUAAACCCUAAUUAAAUCCUAAAAAGACAGCAUAGGAUAAGGAGGACUUUGUCAGUCAGAGCUCUUAGGAUAUGCUUGAUAUGUUGGAUUGCAAUGAGAGGAGAUGGAAGUAGGAAUGCAAUGGAGGGAGGAAAUAAAUGAGAACAUUGAGAAUUGAAUGGCAUAGCAUGAUAGGUUGAAGGAAUGACUGUUCUCAUAUAUAUACAUCUAGGGAUGAUGAUU